UAGAAGAGAGAAAUCAAAUAACCUUUUAAACAAUCUGGGGGUUAAGGGAUUGUUUGAGCCAUUCAGAUCAAAGAAGUCUCUUUGGGGUGCUUCAGAAGAGGCCCAAUAAAGUUGGUGCUAAGGAGCCUCACAAAGCUAGGUGGCAGCUUACAUAUGAAGAGACCUGCUAAGAGGUUAUGGAAGUGGUUCUACCCAUGUUAUCACCUUGGCAGUCACCACCCCUCAAGUGCAACUUUAAAGAAGCUGACACUGAAGAUUAUUUGGAAGCCAUAACCAAUAGAGCACACCACGUGAGCCCAUUAGGAGACCGGCUCCUUCCCACCUGCCACCUCACGCCAGCCAGCAAUCUCAGCGUCCCCACUCCACUCUUGCUCAUGUAGAGCUAUCCAAUCCUGAGUGGCAGGACUGGCAAAGACAGCUGUUGGGCUCCCCACACAUUUGGAGGAGGGGAAAAUAUGAGGUAGAUGGCUAUAUUCUUCUCCUCCUUUUUACGGAAAGAAACAGCUGCGAUCUUCUUGUGUAAGAAGGAGUAAACAAAAGCUGGCAGGCCUCAGCCCCACGCAGGAGACAGCAGCGUUCAAAUGGAUUUUCCCCACCCACCGGGCGCCAUCCCACAACCCAUGGCUCCAUCCCCCACAGCCCCAUCCCCCACAGCCCGGAGGGGA